AAGUCGUAACAAGGUUUCCGUAGGUGAACCUGCGGAAGGAUCAUUAUUGAAGGGGAAAAAAACUUCCCCAAAAAGGAUGUAGGCCAGCCUAAAUUUGGCUGGCACACACUGGCUAUGAAACCCUUGUCUAUAAGUACUCUUGUUUCCUCGGCAGGCUUGCCUGCCAAUGGGGACCCUAAUCAAUCUUUCAAUAUUGUUGUAAUCGUAACCAAACAAAUAAUCAAAACUUUCAACAACGGAUCUCUUGGUUCUG
rnacentral:misc_RNA from 1 species